rnacentral:tRNA from 1 species
GCAAGCCUUUUUUUAUUUCCAGUGGUAGAGCACUCCGAUUUGCAAUCGGAGGGGUCGAUGGUUCAAUCUCAUCUGCUUGCA